ensembl:lncRNA
AGGGGAUUUGCUGCUUCCCCUGUUCGUCACAGCAACUCUGCUGACUGCCUAUGGAGAAGUGAGAAAGUUAUGGAGAAAAAGAAACUGUAAAUUCCACAUACCUUUUAAGAAGUAGACUCAAACUCUUCUGCUGUGACCAGGCUUUGGAGCAUCUCCCUAAAGCUCCCCCCGGAUGCUCUGAGAGCUAAGCUCUAAAGCAGCCUCUGGAGUUUCCCCCGUCGGAUGUUUGCCGAGAGGACGUGAGUGGGCAGAGCAGACAUGGCAGCCUGCUGUCCAAAAACCCAGUCGGCUGGAACCAAACCUCCGAG